GACGAACGCUGGCGGCGUGCUUAACACGUGCCAGUCGAACGAUGAAGCGGGUGCUUGCACUCGUGGAUUAGUGGCGAACGGGCGAGUAACACGUGAGUAACCUGUCCUUUUCUUUGGGAUAACGGCUGGAAACGGCUGCUAAUACUGGAUAUUCAGGCUGCAUCGCAUGGUGUGGUUUGGAAAGGUUUUUUCUGGGAUUGGGUGGGCUCGCGGCCUAUCAGCUUGUUGGUGGGGUGAUGGCUUACCAAGGCUUUGACGGGUAGCCGGCCUGAGAGGGUGGUCGGUCGCACUGGGACUGAGAUACGGCCCAGACUCCUACGGGAGGCAGCAGUGGGGAAUAUUGCACAAUGGACGAAAGUUUGAUGCAGCGACGCCGCGUGGAGGGUGUAGGCCUUCGGGUUGUGAACUCCUUUUUCUCGCGAAAAAGGCACAGUUUUGGCUGUGUUGAUGGUAGUGGGGGAAGAAGCGCCGGCUAACUACGUG
rnacentral:rRNA from 1 species